rnacentral:rRNA from 1 species
GACGAACGCUGGCGGCGUGCUUAACACAUGCAAGUCGAACGAAGAGCGAUGGAAGCUUGCUUCUAUCACUCUUAGUGGCGAACGGGUGAGUAACGCGUAAUCAACCUGCCCUUCAGAGGGGGACAACAGUUGGAAACGACUGCUAAUACCGCAUACGAUCUAACCUCGGCAUCGAGGAAAGAUGAAAGGUGGCCUCUAUGUAUAAGCUAUCACUGAAGGAGGGGAUUGCGUCUGAUUAGCUAGUUGGAGGGGUAACGGCCCACCAAGGCGAUGAUCAGUAGCCGGUCUGAGAGGAUGAACGGCCACAUUGGGACUGAGACACGGCCCAGACUCCUACGGGAGGCAGCAGUGGGGAAUCUUCCGCAAUGGACGAAAGUCUGACGGAGCAACGCCGCGUGAGUGAUGACGGCCUUCGGGUUGUAAAGCUCUGUUAAUCGGGACGAAAGGCCUUCUUGCGAAUAGUGAGAAGGAUUGACGGUACCGGAAUAGAAAGCCACGGCUAACUACGUG